rnacentral:rRNA from 1 species
UACGUAGGGUGCGAGCGUUAAUCGGAAUUACUGGGCGUAAAGCGUGCGUAGGCGGUUGGCAAAGUCAGCUGUGAAAGCCCCGGGCUUAACCUGGGAAUGGCGGUUGAAACUAGUCGACUAGAAUCUGGCAGAGGGGGGUGGAAUUCCACGUGUAGCAGUGAAAUGCGUAGAGAUGUGGAGGAACACCGAUGGCGAAGGCAGCCCCCUGGGCUGAGAUUGACGCUCAGGCACGAAAGCGUGGGGAGCAAACCGG